AGCGAACGCUGGCGGCAGGCCUAACACAUGCAAGUCGAACGGACCCUUCGGGGUUAGUGGCGGACGGGUGAGUAACACGUGGGAACGUGCCUUUAGGUUCGGAAUAGCUCCUGGAAACGGGUGGUAAUGCCGAAUGUGCCCUUCGGGGGAAAGAUUUAUCGCCUUUAGGGCGGCCCGCGUCUGAUUAGCUAGUUGGUGAGGUAACGGCUCACCAAGGCGACGAUCAGUAGCUGGUCUGAGAGGAUGACCAGCCACACUGGGACUGAGACACGGCCCAGACUCCGACGGGAGGCAGCAGUGGGGAAGCUGGCGCGAUGGGCGAAAGCCUGACGCAGCCAGGCCGCGGGAAUGAUGAAGGUCUUAGGAUGGUAAAAUUCUUUCACCGGGGACGAUAAUGACGGUACCCGGAGAAGAAGCCCCGGCUAACUUCGU
rnacentral:rRNA from 1 species